GAUAUUGAUGAGACACAGCCCUCUGAAAUGUCUUUAUCAGAAGAAACUGUAUAUUCCAAUAUAUCUCGUCUAGCGUGCUGGGUGUCAGCAGUGAGAGAUGGGAUGAGGAGGAUUCCUGCAGCUUUGGGUUUGUUUACAAAACGAAAGGAGAAAUUAUUUGUUUACACACACACACACACACCCAGCAACUUAUCAACAAAACAACUCACUGCCUUUUAAAUGUGCAUUCAUUAAAACAAUAUACAUGUCCCUUACAUGAAGUACAAUCAAAUACAUAAAUAAAUAAAUAAAUAAAGGCAGUUUAAUUAAUUAAAAAAAAGCGAGGGAGAGAGAGGGAGAGAGACGGGAGGGUGUGUGUAACUCAGAUAGAGACGAGGCGUUGAAUGCAGUUCCAGUUGUGUGUAAUUUAGGAUGUAAUGGCGAGGAGAGACACAUAUUAUUGUUCUUCUUCUUCUUUAUUCUUAUUAUUAUUAUUAUUAUUACAACACAUAAAUUGCUAGCGCCCUUCUUUUCGGCCUCUGUCAGCGGGGCCGAGCUGGUUGGCCCGCCCGGGUCAGCUGAGAGAGAGAGGGGGGCGGACAGUCCUUGAUUACCGUGAAAGGUGGAGGGGACUCACACACACACACACACAAAAAAAAAAAAAAAAAAAACAAAACACACAAAAUAACACAAUCAGGGGAUUUUUGGUAUCGGGUCCGACUCGGCGGCCGGGGGGCUCAGACCGGGAGUCAGCGAGGGGAGCCCGGCAGGGAGCGCUAAGGGAGAGCGCGGCUCCGCCGGGAACAGCCAGCGGCCUAGGCGUGUGCAGCAGAGCCUGCGGGUCGCCUGGAAAUUGCAGCCUCGGAAAAGGGAGAGCAGGACCGGGGCAGCCCCAAUGAAGACAGACGGACUGAAACCCGUUCUUUCUGAUCCGAUCAAGAGAACGGAGUGACAAAG